ACGGGAGGCAGCAGUGGGGAAUAUUGGGCAAUGGGCGAAAGCCUGACCCAGCAACGCCGCGUGAAGGAAGAAGGCCUUCGGGUUGUAAACUUCUUUUACCAGGGACGAAGGAUGUGACGGUACCUGGAGAAAAAGCAACGGCUAACUACGUGCCAGCAGCCGCGGUAAUACGUAGGUGGCAAGCGUUAUCCGGAUUUACUGGGUGUAAAGGGCGCGUAGGCGGGAAGGCAAGUCAGGUGUGAAAUCUAUGGGCUUAACCCAUAAACUGCACUUGAAACUGUCUUUCUUGAGUGCUGGAGAGGUAGACGGAAUUCCUUGUGUAGCGGUGAAAUGCGUAGAUAUAAGGAAGAACACCAGUGGCGAAGGCGGUCUACUGGACAGUAACUGACGCUGAGGCGCGAAAGCGUGGGGAGCAAACAGGAUUAGAUACCCUGGUA
rnacentral:rRNA from 1 species